UGCAGCUCUCAGUGUUCGAACUGGGUGACUCGGCAAAUCUGGUGAAUUCGACAUACUGCUCUAGUGAGGUAACACUUUGACCAUUCUAUAACUUGGACCGACCCGACAAGGAAACUUUGUCGUUAUAUAACUACUGAAAGUGACUGAAAAUUCCAUGCAAACAGAGAAGCAAUCAAGCAGUAUCAUGCCUGUAUAUAUCUUUGGUCAUUGAGAUAGCGGUUCCCAUGAAGCUGCAAGGGGACUAUAACAUAACGUCGUCUUGAUGUUACCGAAAUUCUGUUAAAGGAUCCCGAAACCAUUUUCUAUGCACCCAAUCCAGGCACAUUGCAUGUCAACGUGCCAGGAAAACAUGUCUGGACUUGGAAACAGGCAAUAACGCGGUGACAUACUAAUUAGUGAAUGUUCUACAUCUGGACUAAUGAAGACAAUCCUGACGGGGUCCCCUGUGAUGUCACAUCAAUUAUGCCACUCUCUGGCGGGCGAUUGUUGCGAGACUACCAGGCUCUCAGAGGAGUGUCGACGUCUUAGUUGAGACUGUCGAGGCCAACUGGGCAACGCAUUGGUCAGUUCAGUAGCCUCGUUCCUUGACGAGAUGGAAGAGCGACUUCACAACUUAGACACCAGAACAACCGCCUUCGUCACAAGCUCUGGGGGCUUUAUAUGUUGUCUCCUUUCAUGAACUUAUAUUUCCAAGUUUUAUGGAUUCUGGUGUAAACCUUGCCAUGGAUACUGGCUGCGUCUUUCGCGCAGCAUUAUAGCAAAUCUAUGCAACCACUGAACUCAACUUCGUGUUUUUUUUUACCUAAAACAGCCAUUUGCCGAUUUAUCAGCUGGUAAUGAAGUCUCUUAUUGGGCUUAUUGAUUUUGUUUAUAAUUGCCGUUAAAACUUCAUAUAAAGACUUAAAAUUUAACAGAUUUCUGUCAGCAAUAUACGUUCCGGCGUUGCUUAAGUCAAACCAUCUUUGUAUAUAAUUGUUAUUAAAGCUAAUCGAUAUUGUAUAAAUCUUAGGGGUUUUGUAUAAAUCUUAGGGGUUUUAUGUAAAUCAUGCCAGCUACAUGUGUGCGGGUAAUACGUUGGAACACGUAUAUUUCUUC